GAAUUUUGGUAUCUAUACAUUUGAUCUUAAUUACGAGACUCCUAUCAUAACUUUUUGCAGGAUAUUUAUUUUCAGCCGUACAUUUUUUUGUCCACUUGAUGGACAAGAGAAUAAUAUCGACAAAGCAUGAAAUUUGAUUUUCAAAUAGCUUAAAUCGCUUGGAUCAUGUCCAAAGGUGCUGAUCGUCGAUUUGGAAGCUCCAUUAUAGAAUAUAAAUCGUUAGCAACAAAGCCCAUUUUAUCGAUAGUGUUCUAGCUCAACUCAUUGUGUGUGUGUGUGUAGAGAGAGAGAGAGAGAGAGAGAGAGAUUGAGCUAGAGUGCCUUUUGAAGCACCAAGGGUUUUGUGCUAUAGAGAGGGGGAGAGAGAGAUAAUUGAGCUGGAAUGCUUUUAGAAGCUCUUAGGAUUUUGUGCUAUAGAGUUUUCGGUCCUUAGAUCAAAGACUUUUAGCCAUUAGAUUGAAAGUCAACAAUGGUGGCUCAUAAAGGGACCGCCUAAUGUGCAAGAUCCAAUGGCCAAAAGGAUUUAUGCGAAGGCCAAAAAGGCUAUAGCAUCAACUCCUUGGUGCUUCUAAUAGUAUCCUAGCUAUAGAACGGCUUCUGUGCUUUUAAAAGUGCGGAGGCCUUUAUACUUCCUCGUUAUUUUCGAUGAUGGAACAUCUGAAUCGACGAUCGGCCCUGUUAGACUUAAUCUAGUGUUUGAAAAGGCGCGAGGCGCAAGACUUACCGGAGCCUAGGCAUGAGGUGCACAGCGAGGCACGAGCCUUAAGAAAUCGAGGAGCACAUUUACUAAGCCUAAUUUAUUUUGAUGUUGUACAUUAAAAAAAUCCCAAAAUAAACAUACAAAAAUAAAAUAACCAUAAAAAAGUAAAGAAAACACAUGCAUAUAGUUUAAUUUGAUGUUUUUGCUGACAUUGCUGUUGUUUUUGCUGCCGCUACUAGUUUUCCUGCUACCGCUGCUGCUUCUUGCUUGUUCUGGCCACCGUAGCUUGCUGCCGCUGCUUCCUGCUGCUAGCGCAGUUGUUGUUGGAUGCUCGACAAAGAGAGAAUGUGGGAGAACACGAGACAGAGAGGAGGGGGUGAGCGGCUGGUUUCCUAGGGUUUUUUUGGGUUUACUUCAAGAUUUUUCAAGUAUCUUAGUGGGUUAAAGUAUAAAUUCAAAUUCAGGACCCGACAAUCCGAAAACUUGAAUCCAAAAUCCCUAUCAACUUAAAUAUUGUGAGGCACGCACCUUAGCAAUAGCACUGCGCCUUGCUAUUGCUGAGGUGCUAAGGCGCGCGCCUCAGGCAUGCCUUUUCAAACAGUGACUUAAUCCAUACUAUUUGAAUACUAUAUAAAAUACUUAGAAACUAAAUUUCAUAGUUUUUUUAGUAUCAUUUACGUAGUGAUUGAAAAGUCUCGAAAAUUAACUAUUUUAAUAGUCUAUAUGAGGCGAUUGCAAGUUUAACGGUAUAGAAAUAUACAAAUUGGAUGAAAUUUUGGUAGAAUUUUGUUUUUACUAGCUAAAGUUAGAUAAGUAUCUCUAAUCUAAAAUCCAAGCCCUCUAUCAUUUCUUUUUAUGAGAUUUUUAUUUUAAACUGUUCAUUUUGGAACCACUCGAUCACAAGAUAAAUGAUGUCGAAAAAUUAGAAAAUUUAACUAUUAGAUACUUUCAAAUAGUGUAGAUCAAGUCUAACAAUGCUGAUUGUCGGUUCGGAUGUUUCAUUAUUGAAAACAAAGUGGAAGCAUGGGAACCUCCAUGCUUAUUUGUAGCCUCACUCUAUACAUAUAUAUGCAUACAUAUAUGCAUACAUAUAUGUAGCCUCACUCUAUACAUAUAUGUAUGCACAUAUAGGGUCGAGUUAGAAUGCUAUUAAUAGUUNAACGAGCUGGAAGCACGGAAGGCUCCGUGCUUCCGAUAGCAUAUAGGCUCAUAUAUAUAUAUAUAUAUAUAUAUAGAGUCCGGCUACUAUACUCUUAUGAGUACGAUCGCCCUCGUACUCAUAAGUUGUUUUCAAUGAUAGAGCUUCCGAAACGACGAUCCACACAGUUAAACGUUAUCUAGAGCAUUUAAAACUGCUAGAAAUUAAAUUUCAUAAAUUACCUUACGAUCAAAAGCUUACAAAAUUGACAAUUUUUUACGUUCGGUAUGGGAUACUUGCUAGUUUAACGGUGGAAAAGAAUCGGAAUAGGUUGAAUUUUUGAUAGAAAAUUCUAUUAACUACCUAGAUAAAGAUCAAUAACUCCGAUCUUAAAUUAAAGGAUCCGAUCAUCCAUUUUUAGGACGUCGUUCGAUUUUGACCAUUCAUUUUAUGCCCGCUUGAUGGACUUUAUUAUGAUUUCGAAAAAUUACGAAAUUUAUUUUCUAGAAGUUUCAAAUACUCUAGAUCAUAUUUAACGGAGUGGAUCGUCGAUUCGGAAGCUCCAUCAUCGAAAGCAACUUAUGAGUACUAAGGGCCCACUACUCAUAAUAGUAUAGUAGCCCUACUCUAUAUAUAUAUAUAUAUAUAUAUAUAUAUAGAGUAGGCUGGUAUGCUUAUGGAAGCAUGGAGCCCUCCGUGCUUCCACUUUGUUUUCGAUGUUCGGACUUUCGAAUCGACGAUCGGCUCCGUUAGAGUUGAUCUGGAGUAUUUGAAGUACCUAGAAAAUAAAUUUUGUGAUUUUUCGAUUCAUUUGCCUAGUGAUCGAAGGGGCUCAAAAUCAAUAAUUUUAAUGGCCGUGGUGAGCCGGUUGCAAGUUUAACGGUGUAGAAAUAUCCAAAUCGCAUGAAAUUUUGAUAGAAAAUUCUUUAUACCAUAUAAAACAAGAUCAAUAACUUUGAUCUAAAAUUUUAAUGUCAUAUCAUCAUAUUUUGUAAGAUUUUUAUUUUCAGCUGUUGAUUUUGAGCCACUUCGAUCACUAGGCAAAUGAUAUCGAAAAAUCGCAAAAUUUAUUUUCUAGAUACUUCAAAUAUUCUAGAUCAAGUCUAACGGAGCCGAUCGUCGAUUCGAAAGUCCGAACAUCGAAAACAAAGUGGAAGCACGGAGCGCUCCGUGCUUCCAUAAGCAUACCAGACGCACUCUCUCUCUCUCUCUCUCUCUCUCUAUAUAUAUAUAUAUAUAUAUAUAUAUAUAUAUAUAUAUAUAUCAGUAACAAACGGGCUCUGUUACUGCCGAUUUGUUUUCGAUGAUGGAACUUCCAAAUCGACAAUCGACAUCGUUGAACAUGAUCUAUACUAGAAGUAUCUAGAAAUCAAAUUUCAAAUCUCUUCGACAUCAUUGACCCAAUGAUUAAAGGAUUGCAAAUUUUGAAAUUUUAAUGGUUUGAUAUUAGGCGUUUUCUCGUUUAACGUUGUAAGAAAUCUAAAUCAAUUGAAUUUUGGUAUCUAUACAUUUGAUCUUAAUUACAGGACUCCUAUCAUAACUUUUUGCAGGAUAUUUAUUUUUAGCCGUACAUUUUUGUGUCCACUUGAUGGACAAGAGAAUAAUAUCGACAAAGCAUGAAAUUUGAUUUUCAAAUAGUUUAAAUCGCUUGGAUUAUGUCCAAAGGUGCUGAUCGUCGAUUUGGAAGCUCCAUCAUAGAAUAUAAAUUGUUAGCAACAAAGCCCAUUUUAUCGAUAGUGUUCUAGC
rnacentral:lncRNA from 1 species